rnacentral:sRNA from 1 species
AUCACCCCCUUCGGGGGUGACCUCAACUGUGUCACUGUCUUUGGUGGAUCUGCCGGUGGGAGCAUCAUCUCUGGCCUGGUCCUGUCCCCAGUGGCUGCAGGGCUGUUCCACAGAGCCAUCACACAGAGUGGGGUCAUCACCACCCCAGGGAUCAUCGACUCUCACCCUUGGCCCCUAGCUCAGAAAAUCGCAAACACCUUGGCCUGCAGCUCCAGCUCCCCGGCUGAGAUGGUGCAGUGCCUUCGGCAGAAGGAAGGAGAAGAGCUGGUCCUUAGCAAGAAGCUGGUAUGGCCACCCUUUUGGGGAUGGUGCCGGGCAAUGGCACAGAGGGGGUUCUAUCCAUCCCCUGCAGGAGCAGAGGGGCAGUCUACCCCCAGGUGGGGCUGGGGACAGCAGCUCAUGAGGGGAAGGGCUGAGGGCUUGGAGACAGAAAUGGAGGGCCAUCUCCAUCCCCACAGCAGGCCUGUCUUCUAGGAAAGAAACUGGACACAUCUGUUGCCCUGAUCUCCUGGUUCCCCCGACCCCCUUAACCCUGGUGAUCUUCAUCCCUUCACUUUCCCUCCAGGCUCAGACACUCAGGCCUGCAGCUCAGUGGCUGCUGGGGUCCUAGCCUUUGAGGUUUGGCCCUAACUUGGGAGCCUCCUGCAUUGCUUUCUCCUGCAGAAAAAUACUAUCUAUCCUCUCACCGUUGAUGGCACUGUCU